rnacentral:rRNA from 1 species
UCGGGAAUUUUGGGCAAUGGGCGAAAGCCUGACCCAGCAACGCCGCGUGAGGGAUGAAGUAUUUCGGUAUGUAAACCUCGAAAGAAUGGGAAGAAUAAAUGACGGUACCAUUUAUAAGCUCCGGCUACCUACGUGCCAGCAGCCGCGGUAAUACGUAGGGAGCAAGCGUUGUUCGGAUUUACUGGGCGUAAAGGGCGCGUAGGCGGCGCGGUAAGUCACUUGUGAAAUCUCUGAGCUUAACUCAGAACGGCCAAGUGAUACUGCUGUGCUAGAGUGCGGAAGAGGCAACCGGAAUUCUUGGUGUAGCGGUGAAAUGCGUAGAUAUCAAGAGGAACACCUGAGGCGAAGGCGGGUUGCUGGGCCGACACUGACGCUGAUGCGCGAAAGCCAGGGGAGCAAACG